AAAUUGCUCGAUAUUUGCUAUCAAUGCUCUUUACCGAGUGUUGAUUCAAGCGAUCGAGACUUUUACCUUGAAAAAAUCAGAGUGCUCAAAGCAGGCGUCCAAAACCUCGAAAGAGGUGCCUAAAAACGGUAUGGUCAACCAUCUAUAUGAUGCGUACCACUACCUUAACUUGAAUGAUCUUGCAUGGAAUAAUGGAAUAGGACCUUGGUUCUAUUUUGUUGGUCUUAAGAAUCCAAGGUAAUGAUUAAGAGGGACAGACGGGGGCAUUUGUAUUGCGGCGCUAGAGGUGAAAUUCUUGGACCGUCGCAAGACAAACUACAGCGAAAGCAUUUGCCAAGAAUGUUUUCAUUAAUCAAGAACGAAAGUUAGAGGUUCGAAGGCGAUCAGAUACCGCCCUAGUUCUAACCAUAAACGAUGCCAACCAGCGAUCAUUCUGAGUAACUAAUUUCAUGACUCGAAUGGAAGCUUCCGGGAAACCAAAGUUUUUGGGUUCCGGGGGAAGUAUGGUUGCAAAGCUGAAACUUAAAGGAAUUGACGGAAGGGCACCACCAGGAGUGGAGCUUGCGGCUUAAUUUGACUCAACACGGGAAAACUCACCCGGCCCGGACACUGAGAGGAUUGACAGAUUGAGAGCUCUUUCUUGAUUCAGUGGGUGGUGGUGCAUGGCCGUUCUUAGUUGGUGGAGUGAUUUGUCUGGUUAAUUCCGAUAACGAACGAGACUCUAGCCUACUAAAUAGACUUGCAGUUUACACUGCAGUACUCCCCCUUAGUCAACCUGUGGGUGGUAGUAUCUCUUGAUGGUUUCGGCUGUUGAGGGCUCUGCUGCUAUUAGCCUACAGAAUUGGCUAGGGUAAGGAUGCUGUAGCACUGUAAGGACUUCUUAGAGGGACAAGCGGCGCUCGCAGCCGCACGAAACAGAGCAAUAACAGGUCUGUGAUGCCCUUAGAUGUCCGGGGCCGCACGCGUGCUACACUGAAGUGGUCAUCGUGCAUACUGUUUCCUGCUCCGAAAGGAGUGGGUAACCGCUUGAACCCAUUUCGUGAUGGGGAUUGGGCAUUGUAAUUAUUGCCCAUGAACGAGGAAUUCCCAGUAAGCGUGAGUCAUUAGCUUGCGUUGAUUACGUCCCUGCCCUUUGUACACACCGCCCGUCGCUACUACCGAUUGAAUGAUUUAGUGAGGACUUCGGACUGGUCAAUCCAGACCAUUGGGA
rnacentral:rRNA from 1 species